rnacentral:rRNA from 1 species
UACAGAGGUCUCAAGCGUUGUUCGGAUUCAUUGGGCGUAAAGGGUGCGUAGGCGGCGCGGUAAGUCGGGUGUGAAAUCUUGGAGCUUAACUCCGAAACUGCAUUCGAUACUGCCGUGCUUGAGGACUGGAGAGGAGACUGGAAUUUACGGUGUAGCGGUGAAAUGCGUAGAUAUCGUAAGGAAGACCAGUGGCGAAGGCGGGUCUCUGGACCAUUACUGACACUGAGAAGCGAAAGCAUGGGGAGCGAACAGG